GCCCACUGUAUUAGCACUUCAUUAGUGGGUCGUCGUCGUCGAGUCACGAUCCGUCGAUCAAUAAUGGCACUUGGCUGGGUCAGGAGUUCUCUUUGGGUAGUCAUAUUUGUUGGGUGGCUUUGGGCUGUCUCUAAGCACCUAUUUAAAACUUCCGUCUGGCUGUUGGUUUGUGGGUGAUAUGUCAUACUCCUUUUCAAUUUAGUACCCUGCAUAUGGAAUAACUUUAUCCAAAAUCUGCUCUUGAAGAUGCAAGUAGAAUUUGUCACAAGCACA
rnacentral:lncRNA from 1 species